AGCGAACGCUGGCGGCAGGCUUAACACAUGCAAGUCGAGCGGACCUUUCGGGGUCAGCGGCGGACGGGUGAGUAACGCGUGGGAACGUGCCUUCCGGUUCGGAAUAACCCUGGGAAACUAGGGCUAAUACCGGAUACGCCCUUAUGGGGAAAGGUUUACUGCCGGAAGAUCGGCCCGCGUCUGAUUAGCUAGUUGGUGGGGUAACGGCCUACCAAGGCGACGAUCAGUAGCUGGUCUGAGAGGAUGAUCAGCCACACUGGGACUGAGACACGGCCCAGACUCCGACGGGAGGCAGCAGAGGGGAAUAUUGGACAAUGGGCGCAAGCCUGAUCCAGCCAUGCCGGGUGAGUGAUGAAGGCCUUAGGGUUGUAAAGCUCUUUUAUCCGGGACGAUAAUGACGGUACCGGAGGAAUAAGCCCCGGCUAACUUCGUG
rnacentral:rRNA from 1 species